AACGAACGCUGGCGGUGUGCCUCAUACAUGCAAGUCGUACGCGAAUCCUGCCGCAAGGCAGGGUUUGAGUGGCAAACGGGUGCGUAACACGUAGGUAAUCUUCCUUUGAGUUGGGGAUAAGCCCUCGAAAGGGGGUCUAAUACCGAAUAACACUUCGGGCCGGCAUCGGCCUGAAAUUAAAGAUGGCCUCUGCUUGCAAGCUAUCGCUCGGAGAUGAGCCUGCGGCCGAUUAGUUAGUUGGCGGGAUAAAGCCCACCAAGACUUCGAUCGGUAGCCGGUCUGAGAGGAUGUCCGGCCACACUGGGACUGAGAUACGGCCCAGACUCCUACGGGAGGCAGCAGUAGGGAAUAUUGCGCAAUGGCCGCAAGGCUGACGCAGCAACACCGCGUGGGGGA
rnacentral:rRNA from 1 species